rnacentral:lncRNA from 1 species
GUCGUUUGUUUAUGAAAUUUAUACGUGUUUCUCAUUUUUCGUUUUCUAUAUAGAUUAGACCGUUGGUUUUCCCGUUUGAAUGGUUUUACACUAGUAAUUUUGAAGCCCUUUAUAGCUUAUUGUUCGGUGUGAGCCUAUGUUACGUGUUGAAGGCCGUACAUUGACCUAUAAUGGUUUACUUUUAUUAAUUGUUAUUUGGAUGGAGAGUUGUCUCAUUGGCACUCACACCACAUCUUCUUAUAUCUAUAAACUUUGAGAUUAUCC